rnacentral:lncRNA from 1 species
CCUGGAGUCAGCUCCCGCAGUAGCUCCGGGGCUCUCCGUCUGCAGGGCCUGGAGGCUCCGGGGCGGGGCCGCUGAUCUGCUCAGCUCGGGGCAGGAGCGUCCUUGCUGUCCUGGGCCCUCCCGGCCUCUGCCUGUCCCGGGGGAGGCCGGAUCCUGGGCUGUGUCCCGGCGCCCUGUGCUCCGGGGCCUGCGCUGUUGGAUUCGCGCUCCCGCCCCGCAGCCCCCUCCGCGGAGCCGCCGCCCGAGCCCCUCCGAGCUGUUCCCGGAGCCGCGCCGCCCCCUCCGCGGAGCUUCUUCCUCCGCCCGAGCCGCCGCCGCUGAGCUGUUCCCGGAGCCCCGCAGCCCCCUCCGCGGAGCCGCCGCCCGAGCCCCUCCGAGCUGUUCCCGGAGCCGCGCCGCCCCCUCCGCGGAGCUUCUUCCUCCGCCCGAGCCGCCGCCGCCGAGCUGUUCCCGGAGCCGCGCAGCCCCCUCCGCGGAGCCGCCGCCCGAGCCCCUCCGAGCUGCUCCGGGUCCCGCCGAGCGCUGCAGCCCUUAGGGAGCUCGGCGCACUCUCCGGGGCGCAGUUCCUCUGUUACUGUCCCAGGGAGCCCGAGGGCAUCCCCGCCUUCCUGGGGAUCCUGCUCCAAUUCCCCGGGAGGCCUUUCCCCCGGGAAGGUCGGUGCAGCUCCUGCUCCUCCGGGACGGGGCUCUCCUGUCCUGGGGACACUCGCCCCGGCCUCAGCCCGGCUCCUCGCGGGGCCCCUCCCCCUUGGAGGUCUUUUGUGUCUUUAUUUCUUUUUCCCCGUCUUCCUACCUUGAUAGAAGCGCGAACUCUUCUCACUGUAGCGUUCCAGCUGGUCUCUCUUUAAAUCUCAGGCUGAAUUCGUAGAUUUUCAGGAUGAUUUGAAUGUUUUCUAGGUAAUUUGUUGAGGACAAGUGACUUGGAGACCCUACUCUGCCGCCAUCUUGCCCCUCCUCAAGACCUCUACUGAUUUUGUAUGUUGAUUUGAAGUGGUGAGAAUGAUUAUCCUUGCUUUAUUCCAUAUCUUAAUAGCUUUUAGCUUUUCA